rnacentral:rRNA from 1 species
UACGUAGGGGGCAAGCGUUGUCCGGAAUCAUUGGGCGUAAAGAGCGUGUAGGCGGCCCGGUAAGUCCGCUGUGAAAGUCCAGGGCUCAACCCUGGGAUGCCGGUGGAUACUGCGGAGCUAGAGUACGGAAGAGGCGAGUGGAAUUCCUGGUGUAGCGGUGGAAUGCGCAGAUAUCAGGAGGAACACCAAUAGCGAAGGCAGCUCGCUGGGACGUUACUGACACUAAGGCGCGAAAGCGUGGGGAGCGAACAGG